AAGUCGUAACAAGGUAACCGUAGGUGAACCUGCGGUUGGAUCAUUAACAAAUUCAAACCGAAAAAGUUAGGGGGUUCGCCUUCUAACUUUUUUACACACAAUGUGAACUGUUUAUUGUCUCUGGUGGUGUUAAAAGACUUAUUUUUACUAAUAAGUUGGGAGGAUAAUUUUUAUCUUCUCACCCACCGAUUUUUAAAUCAUUAUUUUCUUAACUGGUCUUUAAAAAAUAAAAAAAAAGUUAAAUUAAAAAACAACUUUUGGCAACGGAUCUCUAGGCUCUU
rnacentral:misc_RNA from 1 species